rnacentral:rRNA from 1 species
UAGCGUAGGGGCGUAGCGUUGUCCGGAAUCAUUGGGCGUAAAGAGCGUGUAGGCGGUCCGGUAAGUCCGCUGUGAAAGUCGGGGGGCUCAACCCUCGAAUGCCGGUGGAUACUGUCGGGCUAGAGUGCGGAAGAGGCGAGUGGAAUUCCUGGUGUAGCGGUGAAAUGCGCAGAUAUCAGGAGGAACACCUAUUGCGAAGGCAGCUCGCUGGGACGUAACUGACGCUGAGACGCGAAAGCGUGGGGAGCAAACAGG